AUGGUUCUUGGUUACCCUCCGGUGGAAGCUCAGGCUAUCGCUGACCGACUUAACUGUCGGCUGGGUUCUUUCCCCACGACCUACCUGGGGAUCCCCAUUAGUGAUUCGCGCCUCACCGUGGCGGACCUCCGCCCCACGGUGACCCGUAUGCAACAUCGCGUCGAGCCUUGGAAAGGGCGCUGGCUAUCGAAGGCUGCGUGUGUGAUUCUCAUCAACUCCUCUCUCGCCAGCCUUCUUUGGUACCUCGUGAGCUUUUAUAGCCUCCAUGAAACGCUGCACACGGAAAUUGCCAAGUACCAAUCCAGGUUCUACUGGGCUGGCGAGGAUGACAGACAGAAGUACCAUAUGGUCAGUUGGCCGGACAUAUGUAAACCCAAGGACCAGGGGGGUCUGGGGAUUUUGUCCUCCCGACGCAUGAACAUCGCCCUCCUGACCCGGUGGCUAUGGCGUAUUGCUAAUGGUGAUGGAGGGCUUUGGCUCACCAUCAUCCGGAACAAGUACCUCCGUGGACAGCCUCUGGCUUUCUGUCAGCGUUCGGGCGGAUCCCAGUUUUGGCAGGCCGUCAUUCAGCUGCUCCAUGUACUUCGCAUUGGCACGUCCAUCUCGGUUGGGUCUGGGUCCGCGACCCUGUUCUAG
rnacentral:rRNA from 1 species